rnacentral:tRNA from 1 species
UUAAUUGAAACCAAAAAGAGGUAUAUCAUUGUUAAUGAUAAAAAUGAAUUUUAUUCCAAUUAAG